rnacentral:rRNA from 1 species
GUCGAGCGAACGGACGAGAAGCUUGCUUCUCUGAUGUUAGCGGCGGACGGGUGAGUAACACGUGGAUAACCUACCUAUAAGACUGGGAUAACUUCGGGAAACCGGAGCUAAUACCGGAUGAUAUCUUGAACCGCAUGGUUCAAAAGUGAAAGACGGUCUUGCUGUCACUUAUAGAUGGAUCCGCGCUGCAUUAGCUAGUUGGUAAGGUAACGGCUUACCAAGGCAACGAUGCAUAGCCGACCUGAGAGGGUGAUCGGCCACACUGGAACUGAGACACGGUCCAGACUCCUACGGGAGGCAGCAGUAGGGAAUCUUCCGCAAUGGGCGAAAGCCUGACGGAGCAACGCCGCGUGAGUGAUGAAGGUCUUCGGAUCGUAAAACUCUGUUAUUAGGGAAGAACAUAUGUGUAAGUAACUGUGCACAUCUUGACGGUACCUAAUCAGAAAGCCACGGCUAACUACGUGCCAGCAGCCGCGGUAAUACGUAGGUGGCAAGCGUUAUCCGGAAUUAUUGGGCGUAAAGCGCGCGUAGGCGGUUUUUUAAGUCUGAUGUGAAAGCCCACGGCUCAACCGUGGAGGGUCAUUGGAAACUGGAAAACUUGAGUGCAGAAGAGGAAAGUGGAAUUCCAUGUGUAGCGGUGAAAUGCGCAGAGAUAUGGAGGAACACCAGUGGCGAAGGCGACUUUCUGGUCUGUAACUGACGCUGAUGUGCGAAAG